UACAGAGGGGGCAAGCGUUAUUCGGAAUUAUUGGGCGUAAAGGGCGCGUAGGCGGCUUGGCAAGUGGAAGGUGAAAUCCCUCGGCUUAACCGAGGAACUGCCCUCCAAACUGCUUUGCUUGAGGCCGGGAGAGGUGAGUGGAAUUCCCAGUGUAGCGGUGAAAUGCGUAGAUAUUGGGAGGAACACCAGUGGCGAAGGCGGCUCACUGGACCGGUUCUGACGCUGAGGCGCGAAAGCUAGGGGAGCAAACGGG
rnacentral:rRNA from 1 species